GGGAGGUCUUCAAAGUUGACUUAAAAAAAAUAUUACUUCAAAUGCUGUCACUUGGCUUGAGGUUCACAUGGAUAUAGAGUUAUAGACACAACAGAAAAACGAUUGGGAGUUUGGGACAACUGCUUUGGAGAGAGAAACCUAUGGGUUGGCCGAUAAAAUUUAAGGUUCUAAUAAUUAAUGUUGAACACAAUAAAAAUAUUAGAAACCCCCAAUUAUACAUGUACAUAUAAAGUAAACAAAUUAUGACUCUGUUUGGCAAUACCAUAUUUUGAG
rnacentral:lncRNA from 1 species